UGACGUUAGCGGCGGACGGGUGAGUAACACGUGGGCAACCUGCCUGUAAGACUGGGAUAACUUCGGGAAACCGAAGCUAAUACCGGAUAGGAUCUUCUCCUUCAUGGGAGAUGAUUGAAAGAUGGUUUCGGCUAUCACUUACAGAUGGGCCCGCGGUGCAUUAGCUAGUUGGUGAGGUAACGGCUCACCAAGGCAACGAUGCAUAGCCGACCUGAGAGGGUGAUCGGCCACACUGGGACUGAGACACGGCCCAGACUCCUACGGGAGGCAGCAGUAGGGAAUCUUCCGCAAUGGACGAAAGUCUGACGGAGCAACGCCGCGUGAGUGAUGAAGGCUUUCGGGUCGUAAAACUCUGUUGUUAGGGAAGAACAAGUACGAGAGUAACUGCUCGUACCUUGACGGUACCUAACCAGAAAGCCACGGCUAACUACGUGCCAGCAGCCGCGGUAAUACGUAGGUGGCAAGCGUUAUCCGGAAUUAUUGGGCGUAAAGCGCGCGCAGGCGGUUUCUUAAGUCUGAUGUGAAAGCCCACGGCUCAACCGUGGAGGGUCAUUGGAAACUGGGGAACUUGAGUGCAGAAGAGAAAAGCGGAAUUCCACG
rnacentral:rRNA from 1 species